rnacentral:rRNA from 1 species
GGGGAAUUUUCCGCAAUGGGCGAAAGCCUGACGGAGCAAGACCGCGUGGGGGAAGAAGGCUCUUGGGUUGUAAACCCCUUUUCUCUGGGAAGAAAGUUGUGAAAGCAGCCUGACGGUACCAGAGGAAUCAGCAUCGGCUAACUCCGUGCCAGCAGCCGCGGUAAGACGGAGGAUGCAAGCGUUAUCCGGAAUGAUUGGGCGUAAAGCGUCCGCAGGUGGCAGUUCAAGUCUGCUGUCAAAGACCGGGGCUCAACCUCGGAAAGGCAGUGGAAACUGAACAGCUAGAGUAUGGUAGGGGCAAAGGGAAUUCCUGGUGUAGCGGUGAAAUGCGUAGAGAUCAGGAAGAACAUCGGUGGCGAAGGCGCUUUGCUGGACCAUAACUGACACUCAGGGACGAAAGCUAGGGGAGCGAAAGGGAUUAGAUAC